UACGUUCCCGGGCCUUGUACACACCGCCCGUCACACCACGAAAGUCGGCAAUACCCGAAGCCGGUGGCCUAACCCUUUUUGGGAGGGAGCCGUCGAAGGUAGGGUCGAUGAUUGGGGUG
rnacentral:rRNA from 1 species